GAUGAACGCUGGCGGCGUGCUUAACACAUGCAAGUCGAACGUGAGAGGUAGCAAUAUCUUGAAAGUGGCGAACGGUGAGUAACACGUAGGUGACCUGCCUCGGAGUGGGGAUAACAGUUAGAAAUGACUGCUAAUACCGCAUGAAUCCACGGGAUUGGGAAAUUCGGUGGAGAAAACUCUGGUGCUUCGAGAGGGGCCUGCGGUCGAUUAGCUAGUUGGCGGGUAACGGCCCACCAAGGCGACGAUCGAUAGCUGGUCUGAGAGGACGAUCAGCCACACGGGAACUGAGACACGGUCCCGACUCCUACGGGGGGCAGCAGUGAGGAAUAUUGGGCAAUGGGCGGAAGCCUGACCCAGCAACGCCGCGUGAAGG
rnacentral:rRNA from 1 species